rnacentral:rRNA from 1 species
UUAGCAUGGAAUAAUGGAAUAGGACGUGUGGUUCUAUUUUGUUGGUUUCUAGGACCGCCGUAAUGAUUAAUAGGGAUAGUCGGGGGCAUCAGUAUUCAAUUGUCAGAGGUGAAAUUCUUGGAUUUAUUGAAGACUAACUACUGCGAAAGCAUUUGCCAAGGAUGUUUUCAUUAAUCAGUGAACGAAAGUUAGGGGAUCGAAGACGAUCAGAUACCGUCGUAGUCUUAACCAUAAACUAUGCCGACUAGGGAUCGGGCGAUGUUAUCUUUUUGACUCGCUCGGCACCUUACGAGAAAUCAAAGUUUUUGGGUUCUGGGGGGAGUAUGGUCGCAAGGCUGAAACUUAAAGAAAUUGACGGAAGGGCACCACCAGGAGUGGAGCCUGCGGCUUAAUUUGACUCAACACGGGGAAACUCACCAGGUCCAGACACAAUAAGGAUUGACAGAUUGAGAGCUCUUUCUUGAUUUUGUGGGUGGUGGUGCAUGGCCGUUCUUAGUUGGUGGAGUGAUUUGUCUGCUUAAUUGCGAUAACGAACGAGACCUUAACCUGCUAAAUAGCCCGGCUAGCUUUGGCUGGUCGCUGGCUUCUUAGAGGGACUAUCGGCUCAAGCCGAUGGAAGUUUGAGGCAAUAACAGGUCUGUGAUGCCCUUAGAUGUUCUGGACCGCACGCGCGCUACACUGACAGAGCCAACGAGUUCAUCACCUUGGCCGAAAGGUCUGGGUAAUCUUGUUAAACUCUGUCGUGCUGGGGAUAGAGCAUUGCAAU